ACUACGGGUGGCAGCAGUGAGGAAUAUUGGUCAAUGGACGCAAGUCUGAACCAGCCAUGCCGCGUGCAGGAAGACGGCCCUAUGAGUUGUAAACUGCUUUUGUACAAGGGUAAAACACGGUACGUGUAUCCGGUUGAAAGUAUCGUACGAAUAAGGAUCGGCUAACUCCGUGCCAGCAGCCGCGGUAAUACGGGGGAUUCGAGCGUUAUACGGAUUUAUUGGGUUUAAAGGGUGCGUAGGCGGUUCGAUAAGUUAGUGGUGAAAUCCCGGGGCUCAACUGGGGCAUUGCCUCUGAUACUGUCGGGCUAGAGUGUAGUUGCGGUAGGCGGAAUGUAUGGUGUAGCGGUGAAAUGCAUAGAGAUCAUACAGAACACCGAUUGCGAAGGCAGCUUACCAAACUACGACUGACGCUGAGGCACGAAAGCGUGGGGAGCAAACAGGAUUAGAUACCCGGGUAGUC
rnacentral:rRNA from 1 species